CCUUUGAUUGGAGUGUACCUAAACAUGGAGCAGUCAAGGAUCUAUCACACAGACUGACAAAUGUUGGCAGGGCUCGUUCAGUCUACAAAGCUCGAAUCACAGAACCAUCAGGAGUGAGAGAGGAUCUUUUCGAGUAUGAACUCCAUUUCUCCAGGAUUGGGUCAGAAGGUGAGUUUUACUGCCACGCUCAGCCUCUAUGAUCCCGAUCAACCACCCAAAGCCCAAAGUGUCGGUGGC
rnacentral:lncRNA from 1 species